rnacentral:rRNA from 1 species
GCUGACGAGCGGCGGACGGGUGAGUAAUGCUUGGGAACAUGCCUUGAGGUGGGGGACAACAGUUGGAAACGACUGCUAAUACCGCAUAAUGUCUACGGACCAAAGGGGGCUUCGGCUCUCGCCUUUAGAUUGGCCCAAGUGGGAUUAGCUAGUUGGUGAGGUAAUGGCUCACCAAGGCGACGAUCCCUAGCUGGUUUGAGAGGAUGAUCAGCCACACUGGGACUGAGACACGGCCCAGACUCCUACGGGAGGCAGCAGUGGGGAAUAUUGCACAAUGGGCGCAAGCCUGAUGCAGCCAUGCCGCGUGUGUGAAGAAGGCCUUCGGGUUGUAAAGCACUUUCAGUCAGGAGGAAAGGUUAGUAGUUAAUACCUGCUAGCUGUGACGUUACUGACAGAAGAAGCACCGGCUAACUCCGUGCCAGCAGCCGCGGUAAUACGGAGGGUGCGAGCGUUAAUCGGAAUUACUGGGCGUAAAGCGUACGCAGGCGGUUUGUUAAGCGAGAUGUGAAAGCCCCGGGCUCAACCUGGGAACUGCAUUUCGAACUGGCAAACUAGAGUGUGAUAGAGGGUGGUAGAAUUUCAGGUGUAGCGGUGAAAUGCGUAGAGAUCUGAAGGAAUACCGAUGGCGAAGGCAGCCACCUGGGUCAACACUGACGCUCAUGUACGAAAGCGUGGGGAGCAAACGGGAUUAGAUACCCCGGUAGUCCACGCCGUAAACGAUGUCUACUAGAAGCUCGGAGCCUCGGUUCUGUUUUUCAAAGCUAACGCAUUAAGUAGACCGCCUGGGGAGUACGGCCGCAAGGUUAAAACUCAAAUGAAUUGACGGGGGCCCGCACAAGCGGUGGAGCAUGUGGUUUAAUUCGAUGCAACGCGAAGAACCUUACCUACACUUGACAUACA